rnacentral:rRNA from 1 species
AGAGUUUGAUCCUGGCUCAGGAUGAACGCUGGCGGCGUGCUUAACACAUGCAAGUCGAACGAUUAAACCGCCUUCGGGCGGAUAUAGAGUGGCGAACGGGUGAGUAACACGUGACCAACCUACCUCUUGCUUCGGGAUAACUGUGGGAAACUACAGCUAAUACCGGAUACUCUAGCUAAAUCACAUGAUUUGGUUAGGAAAGCGUAUACGGCAAGAGAUGGGGUCGCGUCCCAUUAGGUAGAUGGCGGGGUAACGGCCCACCAUGCCAACGAUGGGUAGCCGGGUUGAGAGACCGAUCGGCCACAUUGGGACUGAGAUACGGCCCAGACUCCUACGGGAGGCAGCAGUGGGGAAUUUUGGGCAAUGGGGGAAACCCUGACGCAGCAACGCCGCGUGCGGGAUGACGGCCUUCGGGUUGUAAACCGCUUUCAGUGGGAAAGAUUAUGACGGUACCCACAGAAGAAGCCCCGGCUAAAUACGUGCCAGCAGCCGCGGUAAUACGUAUGGGGCAAGCGUUAUCCGGAUUUAUUGGGCGUAAAGCGCGCGUAGGCGGCUUGUUAAGCAGAAUCUCUAAUCUUGGGGCUCAACCCCAAUCCGGAUUCUGAACUGGCAGGCUCGAGUUCGGUAGAGGAAGACGGAAUUCCCAGUGUAGCGGUGAAAUGCGCAGAUAUUGGGAAGAACACCGAUGGCGAAGGCAGUCUUCUGGGCCGUAACUGACGCUGAGGUGCGAAAGCUAGGGGAGCGAACAGGAUUAGAUACCCUGGUAGUCCUAGCCGUAAACGAUGGGCACUAGGUGUGGGGAGUUCAUACUUUCCGUGCCGCAGCUAACGCAUUAAGUGCCCCGCCUGGGGAGUACGGCCGCAAGGCUAAAACUCAAAGGAAUUGACGGGGGCCCGCAC